UACGUAGGGGGCAAGCGUUGUCCGGAUUCAUUGGGCGUAAAGAGCGUGUAGGCGGCCAGGUAGGUCGGUUGUGAAAACUGGAGGCUCAACCUUCAGAGGUCGACCGAAACCAUCUGGCUAGAGUCCGGGAGAGGAGAGUGGAAUUCCUGGUGUAGCGGUGAAAUGCGCAGAUAUCAGGAGGAACACCGGUGGCGAAGGCGGCGUUCUGGACUGCUACUGACACUGAGGAACGAAAGCCAGGGGAGCAAACGGG
rnacentral:rRNA from 1 species